rnacentral:rRNA from 1 species
UGGGGAAUAUUGGACAAUGGGCGCAAGCCUGAUCCAGCCAUGCCGCGUGUGUGAAGAAGGCCUUCGGGUUGUAAAGCACUUUCAGCGAGGAGGAAGGGAGUUGUGUUAAUAGCACAGCUUCUUGACGUUACUCGCAGAAGAAGCACCGGCUAACUCUGUGCCAGCAGCCGCGGUAAUACAGAGGGUGCAAGCGUUAAUCGGAAUUACUGGGCGUAAAGCGCACGUAGGCGGUUUUUAAGUCAGAUGUGAAAGCCCCGGGCUCAACCUGGGAAUUGCAUUUGAAACUGGAAAACUAGAGUGUGUGAGAGGGGGGUAGAAUUCCAAGUGUAGCGGUGAAAUGCGUAGAGAUUUGGAGGAAUACCAGUGGCGAAGGCGGCCCCCUGGCACAACACUGACGCUGAGGCGCGAAAGUGUGGGUAUCAAACAGGAUUAGAUACCCCCGUAGUCCCUGAGCGGGCUGGCAAGGCGCAU